rnacentral:rRNA from 2 species
AGGUGCGAUCAUACUAGACUAAUGCACCAGAUCCCAUAUGAACUCCACAGAUAAGCGUGCUUGGGCGAGACUAGUAUUAGUAUGGAUGACCUCCUGGGAAGUCCUCGUGUUGCACCUC